rnacentral:rRNA from 1 species
AUUGAACGCUGGCGGCAGGCCUAACACAUGCAAGUCGAACGGUAACAGGAAACAGCUUGCUGUUUCGCUGACGAGUGGCGGACGGGUGAGUAAUGUCUGGGAAACUGCCUGAUGGAGGGGGAUAACUACUGGAAACGGUAGCUAAUACCGCACAACGUCGCAAGACCAAAGAGGGGGACCUUCGGGCCUCUUGCCAUCGGAUGUGCCCAGAUGGGAUUAGCUAGUAGGUGGGGUAACGGCUCACCUAGGAGACGAUCCCUAGCUGGUCUGAGAGGAUGACCAGCCACACUGGAACUGAGACACGGUCCAGACUCCUACGGGAGGCAGCAGUGGGGAAUAUUGCACAAUGGGCGCAAGCCUGAUGCAGCCAUGCCGCGUGUAUGAAGAAGGCCUUCGGGUUGUAAAGUACUUUCAGCGGGGAGGAAGGGAGUAAAGUCAAUACCUUUGCUCAUUGACGUUACCCGCAGAAGAAGCACCGGCUAACUCCGUGCCAGCAGCCGCAGUAA